rnacentral:lncRNA from 1 species
GGGGGGGUGGGGGGUGUCACAGAGCUGGGAACUCGCUCAGAGCCAGGGUCUCUGCUGGGGUCAGCGUCUGUACGCUAAAGCCAGGGCGCAAAGUGCGUGGGCACUGCGGACACUAGAGGCUUAUGGCGCUGGAAAUACAAGGCCGAGUUGCCGGCGCAAAGAGUUCCCCGGGCGGGUUGGUGAUGCGGCGCGCUUUGAUAACAGGUUAAUCCGGCCAACAUUCGCUCCGCGAGAGAGCCAUCGGAGGGCUCCGGGAGACUGCGGCGCCACGGAGGGAGAGGCGGCGAGAGGCCCCUCUGCGAGCACCCUCUGGGCGCAGUGCGGUGGGCUAUGCUCUGCGCAGCCCCGGGCGCGCCUGGGUUCUCAGAGCCCAAGACCUGAGCCGCUCCGAGCGCAGGGCGCCAGUUCUCUUUCAGAAGCGGGAGAAGUUCAGGUGCCCAACACCUUGAUCAGUGCCUGCUUUGUAGUAGGCAUUCAAAUACUGUGGACUGGAUGAAUGGAGUCACUUCCCUUCCAACCUGCACACCAACGUGGUUGAACUGCCUCCUUUCUAAGUGCCAAAGUCUGUUUUACAAGGCUGAUAUCAAAGGAGCAUUACAAAAUAUUGUCUAACAGAAGUACCAGGGCUGGAUCCCAAAGUUUUGUGUAGAUCUUGAUAAAGAGUUUGGAUUUUAUUCUAACAAGAGUGAAGAGCAUGACAAUGUUUGCAGAAGAGUGAUGGCUUCUUUCAGGCAACAGUGACAAUUACACCUCCUCUUUUUCUCUUUGAUCCUCCACCCUCUCCCUCCAGCACCUGGUACAAAGCUGGGUACCCAGCAGACACUCUGUAAAUUAAAGUGCUGCCAGCCUGAACAAUCUCAGUGGAA